rnacentral:rRNA from 1 species
GACGAACGCUGGCGGCGUGCUUAACACAUGCAAGUCGUGCGGUAAGGCCCUUUCGGGGGUCCACGAGCGGCGAACGGGUGAGUAACACGUGAGCAACCUGCCCUUCACUUUGGGAUAACUGCCGGAAACGGUGGCUAAUACCGGAUAUGACUUCCUCACGCAUGUGGGGUGGUGGAAAGCCUUCGGGUGGUGGGGGAUGGGCUCGCGGUCUAUCAGCUUGUUGGUGGGGUGAUGGCCUAUCAAGGCUUCGACGGGUAGCCGGCCUGAGAGGGUGACCGGCCACACUAGGACUGAGAGACGGCCCAGACUCCUACGGGAGGCAACGGUGGGGAAUAUUAGACAAUGGGCGAAAGCCUGAUCCAGCGACGCCGCGUGAGGGAUGACGGCCUUCGGGUUGUAAACCUCUUUCGCCUGCGACGAAGCGAGAGUGACGGUAGCAGGUAAAGAAGCACCGGCCAACUACGUG